UACGGGGGGGACAAGCGUUGUUCGGAAUUACUGGGCGUAAAGGGCUCGUAGGCGGCCAACUAAGUCGGACGUGAAAUCCCCAGGCUCAACCUGGGAACUGCGUCCGAUACUGGAUGGCUUGAAUUCGGGAGAGGGAUGCAGAAUUCCAGGUGUAGCGGUGAAAUGCGUAGAUAUCUGGAGGAAUACCGGUGGCGAAGGCGGCAUCCUGGACCGACAUUGACGCUGAUGAGCGAAAGCCAGGGGAGCAAACGGG
rnacentral:rRNA from 1 species